AAUUGCUUCUUUAGCCCUAUCCAUGGCCUUAUAAAUAUAUCCCAUUGCCGGCAUUUUCUCACCUUCAACUAAUCUAAGCACUCGAAUUAAUGGACCAAAUAUCUUUAAGACAUAAGUCAUAUUAGUCCAGAAAGUAGGCAUCAUGACAAUACUACUCACUUUUUUACCAGCCGGCUCUUUUGCCCACUCACUUUUAGUCCAUUCCUCUGAAGUGAACAUCUUUUUCAAAUUAGUCUUGUGCUUAUGUAUGCGUUGA
rnacentral:misc_RNA from 1 species